CCUCCCGUAGGCUGCAGUGGGGAAUAUUGGACAAUGGGCGAAAGCCUGAUCCAGCCAUGCCGCGUGUGUGAAGAAGGCCUUCGGGUUGUAAAGCACUUUCAGUGGGGAAGAAAGCCUUGGGGCUAAUACCCUCGAGGAAGGACAUCACCCACAGAAGAAGCACCGGCUAACUCCGUGCCAGCAGCCGCGGUAAUACGGAGGGUGCGAGCGUUAAUCGGAAUUACUGGGCGUAAAGCGCGCGUAGGCGGUCUGAUAAGCCGGUUGUGAAAGCCCCGGGCUCAACCUGGGAACGGCAUCCGGAACUGUCAGGCUAGAGUGCAGGAGAGGAAGGUAGAAUUCCCGGUGUAGCGGUGAAAUGCGUAGAGAUCGGGAGGAAUACCAGUGGCGAAGGCGGCCUUCUGGACUGACACUGACGCUGAGGUGCGAAAGCGUGGGUAGCAAACAGGAUUAGAUACCCGAGUAGUC
rnacentral:rRNA from 1 species